GGUUAAGUGACUAAGCGUACACGGUGGAUGCCUGGGCAGUCAGAGGCGAUGAAGGACGUACAAACUUGCGAUAAGCGCAGAUAAGGCAGUAAGAGCCGUUUGAGUCUGCGAUUUCCGAAUGGGGAAACCCAACUGCAUAAGCAGUUACUGUUAACUGAAUACAUAGGUUAACAGAGCAAACCGGGGGAACUGAAACAUCUAAGUACCCCGAGGAGAAGAAAUCAACCGAGAUUCCGGUAGUAGCGGCGAGCGAACCUGGAUUAGCCCUUAAGCACUCGGUGAAGUAGGUGAACAAGCUGGAAAGCUUGGCGAUACAGGGUGAUAGCCCCGUAACCGACGCUUCAUCGAGCGUGAAAUCGAGUAGGGCGGGACACGUGAUAUCCUGUCUGAAUAUGGGGGGACCAUCCUCCAAGGCUAAAUACUCCUGACUGACCGAUAGUGAACCAGUACCGUGAGGGAAAGGCGAAAAGAACCCCUGUGAGGGGAGUGAAAUAGAACCUGAAACCGUGUACGUACAAGCAGUAGGAGCACCUUCGUGGUGUGACUGCGUACCUUUUGUAUAAUGGGUCAGCGACUUAUAUUCAGUGGCAAGGUUAACCGUAUAGGGGAGCCGUAGCGAAAGCGAGUCUUAACUGGGCGCUCAGUCUCUGGAUAUAGACCCGAAACCGGGUGAUCUAGCCAUGGGCAGGUUGAAGGUUGAGUAACAUCAACUGGAGGACCGAACCGACUAAUGUUGAAAAAUUAGCGGAUGACUUGUGGCUAGGGGUGAAAGGCCAAUCAAACUCGGAGAUAGCUGGUUCUCCCCGAAAGCUAUUUAGGUAGCGCCUCGGACGAAUACUACUGGGGGUAGAGCACUGUUAAGGCUAGGGGGUCAUCCCGACUUACCAACCCUUUGCAAACUCCGAAUACCAGUAAGUACUAUCCGGGAGACACACGGCGGGUGCUAACGUCCGUCGUGGAGAGGGAAACAACCCAGACCGCCAGCUAAGGUCCCAAAGUAUUGCUAAGUGGGAAACGAUGUGGGAAGGCUCAGACAGCUAGGAUGUUGGCUUAGAAGCAGCCAUCAUUUAAAGAAAGCGUAAUAGCUCACUAGUCGAGUCGGCCUGCGCGGAAGAUGUAACGGGGCUAAGCAAUACACCGAAGCUGCGGCAAUGUCUUUUAGACAUUGGGUAGGGGAGCGUUCUGUAAGCCGUUGAAGGUGAAUCGUAAGGUUUGCUGGAGGUAUCAGAAGUGCGAAUGCUGACAUGAGUAACGACAAAGGGGGUGAAAAACCUCCUCGCCGGAAGACCAAGGGUUCCUGUCCAACGUUAAUCGGGGCAGGGUGAGUCGACCCCUAAGGUGAGGCCGAAAGGCGUAAUCGAUGGGAAACGGGUUAAUAUUCCCGUACUUCUGACUAUUGCGAUGGGGGGACGGAGAAGGCUAGGUGGGCCAGGCGACGGUUGUCCUGGUUCAAGUGCGUAGGCUUGAGAGUUAGGUAAAUCCGGCUCUCUCUAAGGCUGAGACACGACGUCGAGCUACUACGGUAGUGAAGUCAUUGAUGCCAUGCUUCCAGGAAAAGCCUCUAAGCUUCAGAUAGUCAGGAAUCGUACCCCAAACCGACACAGGUGGUCGGGUAGAGAAUACCAAGGCGCUUGAGAGAACUCGGGUGAAGGAACUAGGCAAAAUGGUACCGUAACUUCGGGAGAAGGUACGCUCUUGAUGGUGAAGUCCCUCGCGGAUGGAGCUGACGAGAGUCGCAGAUACCAGGUGGCGUAACUGUUUAUUAAAAACACAGCACUGUGCAAAAUCGCAAGAUGACGUAUACGGUGUGACGCCUGCCCGGUGCCGGAAGGUUAAUUGAUGGGGUUAGCGCAAGCGAAGCUCUUGAUCGAAGCCCCGGUAAACGGCGGCCGUAACUAUAACGGUCCUAAGGUAGCGAAAUUCCUUGUCGGGUAAGUUCCGACCUGCACGAAUGGCGUAAUGAUGGCCACGCUGUCUCCACCCGAGACUCAGUGAAAUUGAAAUCGCUGUGAAGAUGCAGUGUACCCGCGGCUAGACGGAAAGACCCCGUGAACCUUUACUACAGCUUGGCACUGAACAUUGAACCUACAUGUGUAGGAUAGGUGGGAGGCUAUGAAGACGUGACGCCAGUUGCGUUGGAGCCGUCCUUGAAAUACCACCCUUGUAUGUUUGAUGUUCUAACUUAGACCCAUUAUCUGGGUUGAGGACAGUGCCUGGUGGGUAGUUUGACUGGGGCGGUCUCCUCCCAAAGAGUAACGGAGGAGCACGAAGGUGGGCUAAUCACGGUUGGACAUCGUGAGGUUAGUGCAAUGGCAUAAGCCCGCUUAACUGCGAGAAUGACGGUUCGAGCAGGUGCGAAAGCAGGUCAUAGUGAUCCGGUGGUUCUGUAUGGAAGGGCCAUCGCUCAACGGAUAAAAGGUACUCCGGGGAUAACAGGCUGAUACCGCCCAAGAGUUCAUAUCGACGGCGGUGUUUGGCACCUCGAUGUCGGCUCAUCACAUCCUGGGGCUGAAGUCGGUCCCAAGGGUAUGGCUGUUCGCCAUUUAAAGUGGUACGCGAGCUGGGUUUAGAACGUCGUGAGACAGUUCGGUCCCUAUCUGCCGUGGGCGUUGGAAGAUUGAAGGGGGCUGCUCCUAGUACGAGAGGACCGGAGUGGACGAACCUCUGGUGUUCGGGUUGUGUCGCCAGACGCAUUGCCCGGUAGCUAAGUUCGGAAUUGAUAAGCGCUGAAAGCAUCUAAGCGCGAAGCGAGCCCUGAGAUGAGUCUUCCCUGACAGUUUAACUGUCCUAAAGGGUUGUUCGAGACUAGAACGUUGAUAGGCAGGGUGUGUAAGCGUUGUUGAGGCGUUGAGCUAACCUGUACUAAUUGCCCGUGAGGCUUAACCAU
rnacentral:rRNA from 1 species